rnacentral:ncRNA from 2 species
GGUUGGGCAGUAGCUUUCAAGGCAAUUUCUUCAAGGGGUGAGAAGAA